AGCGUGCUAUUCCGCCGCCGCCAGCACUGCGUUCGACCGAAGAAUAUACCUUACCCGCUCAUGAAUACCUUGAUCCUAAACAAAAUAAUGAAGACGACAGAAGAGUUGUGCGUGAGAGUAGCAGAAAAUGCCGACGACUGGUGCGGCGCCUGUUGGCGGAGCUGGUCUCGUCGCUGCCGCUGGUCGCGCCGCGCGGCGCCGGCGAGCAAGUCCCUGAUGAAGCGCACGCGACCGCCACAGAUGCGAGACCCCUGGAGCCCUGUCUGGCGAAGGCCGAAUGCAGCCGCG